rnacentral:RNase_P_RNA from 1 species
AGAUGGCUGGAUGGCCGCUGUUGCAAAACAGAGGAAAGUCCGGGCUCCACGGAACCACGAUGCCGGGUAACCCCCGGCGAGGGCAACCUCAGGGAAAGUGCCACAGAAAACAAACCGCCAUUUUUCAAUGGUAAGGGUGAAACGGUGCGGUAAGAGCGCACCGCGCCGCUGGCAACAGGGGCGGCAGGGUAAACCCCAUCGGGAGCAAGACCAGAUAGGAACGCGGUGCCUUCGGGCAAAGGGCUGGUUUCGUCCUGACGUUCGGGUAGGUCGCUUGAGGCGGCUGGCAACAGUCGUCCCAGAGGAAUGGUCAUCCAGCAUCUUUAUGAUGUGGACAGAACCCGGCUUAUAGGCCAUCUGA